rnacentral:lncRNA from 1 species
AUCAAAAUAGAGCUCCUUGGAAAUGAUGCAUCACAAAGUCCUGUCCCUGCUUUACUGACUCACAAGAAUGGCCCAGCAGUUAAAAUCCUUAUACAUGGAGCAGCUGAAGAUUUUCGUUUUUCUAGAAAGAGAAAAAAGACAAGGCUGAAGUGAUUUUUUCAGUAUAGGUGUUACCACAUGAGUGACUGUUUUCUUCAGAUGGGUAUUUUUAAAUUUCCCAUUAAUAUAGUGGUGGACUUUUAAGUUGGUGUAUUACCCAAAAAGAAAACAGAUGAUUAUGCUGAGAUUAUAGAUGAAGAAGAUACUUACACCAUGCCCUCAAAAAGCUAUGGAAUAGAUGAAGCCAGGGAUUAUGAGAUUCAAAGAGAAAGAAUAGAACUUGGACGAUGUAUUGGAGAAGGCCAAUUUGGAGAUGUACAUCAAGGCAUUUAUAUGAGUCCAGAGAAUCCAGCUUUGGCGGUUGCAAUUAAAACAUGUAAAAACUGUACUUCGGACAGCGUGAGAGAGAAAUUUCUUCAAGAAGCCUUAACAAUGCGUCAGUUUGACCAUCCUC